AUGCUUGAUGUUUUACCUGAUAUUUCGGCAUUUCUUUCCAUAGCCAAUAUGUCUUAAGAAGUUUCCUAGUUUGGAGAAUUCAGCUUUUUUUUUCUCUUCCAAAUAUAUGAUCGUCAAGUUAGAAUACAGUUCAUCUAAAUGUGUUUCGCAGGACACAUGGUUUAUAUUUACAGUGAAUGGGUGUUUGUUGAGUGAAAAUGGACCAAGUAGUGUUUGAAUGUUGAGGAGGCAGCUAGCACCAGCGCCGUCAAUCAGGGCAGCGUUGGCAGGGAGAUGACGAUGAAGAUCACUGUGCUUGUGAUAAGUUCUCCAGCUGUAACCGGUUGGACCCGAGCGCAUAGGGAGAGAGGGGGGGGGAUUUCAUAGAGAAGGAAUGGAAAAAUGGGAUCCUAAAAAACAAAAGCAGUGAAGUAGGAUCUAGGGAGGAGACUUGGAGAAUGUGUUCCACUGAAUAGAGUAUCUGGAUUAUCGCUCCCAGUAACAUACAGCUGGGGAAAUGAACGCAGGCCAAUGCUAAUGGAUCAUAGUAAAGGAAUUAGGAUAGGAGGGCCUUUAAGGUCUAAUUAAUCAAAGUAUGAAAAAGUCAGUCAUGCCACAAAGAACACAAAACAUGGGUGUGAACCUUUUUUUUUUUUUUUUAUUUUUUUUUUUAAACUUCUUUAAUCCAUUGGCCAGAUGAUUGACAGAGCUAUUCAUAUAAGAGCUGUGAGUGUGUUUUUUUUGGAGCUGUAAAAAAAUAAUUAUAAACAGUGAAACAGUAACCUUUCAGUUUGAUUAAUGAUGGGUUAAAAAUGGCAAGUUCUAAUUACGCACCUGCAGUACCAGUCAUCAGUAAAUUUAAGUGAGAUUAUAUCUUAUUAAACAGUGCAAAAACAACAUUCCUCUUGUUUAAUACCAAACAUGGUUAAGAUCACGAUGUAAAUCACAGGAUUGUUUAUCAGUGUGGCUUUGAGUGAUUUUUGUUCAUUUUGGGUCCCGAAUCUAUAAAUGUAUUCCCUUCAUUUUCAUUUAUCCCUUCUUGGUUUCUGAGUUAUCAGUGACCAGCUAAGUAUUUGGGGGACAGGAAUCAUUUCCUUCACCCAAUCCCUGGCUGUUGUAUUGGUGUCAUGUCUUCUGACACUUUAUGUGAGACAGUAUUUGCUUACAGUAAUAACCAACUGUCAACACCCUUUUUUUUGUGUGGCAAUUUCCUCCCUUGACUUCCAGUUCUAAAGAAUCUGCAAUAUUACGCAGCUAACGUGACAAACGCAACGCUAUGUGCCCCAGUUUGAAGGAUUUAGGAGAUUUUAAUGUGCCUUCCGCUUCCUGUCCAACCAAGGUUUAGUCCCCCCCCCCCCCCCCCACACACACACACACUUGUCACGGCUGUGUGUGCUAUUUGUUGCAUGUGUGUCAGUCUGAUUAGUGAGCGAUGUUUUGGGGGUGUCAUCCUUAAGGGUAUUUCCUCAUUUAUCUGUUGGCUGAAAAUGUUGCCUAACUUUGUUUUCCUCACGCAUAAAAUGCCCAUUAGGUGAUAUUGUGUGUAGUCUCAAGUGACCUUACCUUUGCUGAUUUCAUCACGUAUAACUUCUUAAGUGAACAUUGAAUGCCUAUUUAUGUACAGAAUAAAAUAUGUGAUGUUCAUUCAGAAACAUAACGCCCAGGUGUGAUGUAAUCAUGACCUGAAUCUCAUGUAUGAGCACCUCAAGUUAACGGCAUCACAUAUCGUUGGUUGUGAAGAAACUGUCACAGUUUCCCAGGAAAUAGUUGUUUUUUUUAUGUCUGUAUGCAUUUCAUAUAAGACUAGUUUAAGACAUUCACUUUUGCAGUUUAGCCACUUAAAUAUGUAUAAAAAAAAAAAUCCUCAAUACUUAAGUGUUUAACUUGAUUUUACACCAAUGGAGGCCGCAUGAGCAGAGCCUUGUAGCUGUACAGAAAUGGUUUUAAAUCUGCUUAAAAACACAGUGAAUUCAGUUGUGACAGAUAUUAUCAAGAGAUCUCUUAUCAAACUAUUUUUCAUGAUCCAUAACUACAGUGCAGCCGGACCACUCUUUGUUUCUCGACUGCUGAAGCAAGCCUGAGAUAAUCUUGAAUCUCCAGAUUGAUUUCUUGAUAAUAUUCAGAACAAAUGUCCCGUGUUUCAACGUUGGUGCUUUUGUGCUGCUUCUCGGUGUUCUUUGUCUCACAAAGCUUUUUUUUUUCUGUAUGAGAGAGAGAGAGAGAGAGAGAGAGUGAAGAAAACGGAUCCAUGCUGUGGAAUGAUAAAAGGCAGUGCUGUGAAAUUUAAUGUCAUGCUCUUAAUACUGUUUUUAUGGAGGGGAGAUCGUCUUCAGGUGUAAUAAUUUAGAAGAGUUUAUUAGAGUGUUCAAAAGACGUAAUAAACAGCAUAAAAUGAUGUGAUAAUGAUGUCUUGUUUUUAACCGCCACAAUGUUUGAUUGAAUGAAUUGUUAAAUGUUGCUAUUUCUACUUUUAUUUUUUACUGGAUUGCAAAA